rnacentral:rRNA from 1 species
AUUGAACGCUGGCGGCAGGCCUAACACAUGCAAGUCGAACGGUAACAGGAAACAGCUUGCUGUUCCGCUGACGAGUGGCGGACGGGUGAGUAAUGUCUGGGAAACUGCCUGAUGGAGGGGGAUAACUACUGGAAACGGUAGCUAAUACCGCAUGACGUCGCAAGACCAAAGAGGGGGGCCUUCGGGCCUCUUGCCAUCGGAUGUGCCCAGAUGGGAUUAGCUAGUAGGUGGGGUAGCGGCUCACCUAGGCGACGAUCCCUAGCUGGUCUGAGAGGAUGACCAGCCACACUGGAACUGAGACACGGUCCAGACUCCUACGGGAGGCAGCAGUGGGGAAUAUUGCACAAUGGGCGCAAGCCUGAUGCAGCCAUGCCGCGUGUAUGAAGAAGGCCUUCGGGUUGUAAAGUACUUUCAGCGGGGAGGAAGGCGAUAAGGUUAAUAACCUUGUCGAUUGACGUUACCCGCAGAAGAAGCACCGGCUAACUCCGUGCCAGCCGCCGCCGUAA